rnacentral:rRNA from 1 species
UACGUAGGGGGCUAGCGUUGUCCGGAAUCAUUGGGCGUAAAGAGCGCGUAGGCGGCCCGGUAAGUCCGCUGUGAAAGUCCAGGGCUCAACCCUGGAAUGCCAGUGGAAACUGUCGGGCUAGAGUACGGAAGAGGCGAGUGGAAUUCCUGGUGUAGCGGUGGAAUGCGCAGAUAUCAGGAGGAACACCAAUAGCGAAGGCAGCUCGCUGGGACGCAACUGACGCUGAGACGCGAAAGCGUGGGGGAGCAAACAGG